rnacentral:rRNA from 1 species
UGGGGAAUAUUGCACAAUGGCGGGAACUCUGAUGCAGCGACGCCGCGUGAGUGAUGAAGGAUUUCGUUUCGUAAAACUCUGUUCUAUGGGAAGAAAAGGACUGUACCAUAGGAGAAAGCUCCGGCUAAAUACGUGCCAGCAGCCGCGGUAAUACGUAUGGAGCGAGCGUUGUCCGGAAUUAUUGGGCGUAAAGGGUGCGCAGGCGGCUUUACAAGUUGGAUGUGAAAUAUUGUGGCUCAACCACAAACGUGCAUCCAAAACUGCAAAGCUUGAGUGAAGGAGAGGUAAGUGGAAUUCCUGGUGUAGCGGUGGAAUGCGUAGAUAUCAGGAGGAAUACCGGUGGCGAAGGCGACUUACUGGACUUAAACUGACGCUCAGGCACGAAAGCGUGGGGAGCAAACAGG